GUGCUUGCUUUGGCAGCACAUAUACUAAAAUUGGAACCAUACAGAGAAGAUUAGCAUGGCAGCUCCAUAAGGAUACAAUGCAAAUUCGUGAAGUGUUCCAUAUUUUU